AUGCACAGCGCUUAGACUCAUCUCUUUGCUUUCUUUUCGUAUGAAUUUUCUACCUUCUUCUAACUAUAUUCCACCGUACUUCAAUAUGUUUUGCAAUU